GUGGCAUGACAUCACAUAAUAUCAUGUGGUGUACUGUUGGUUUUGGCCCCUCUUGUUGGGCCUCAGGAGGCUCCCUUGAUGGGGAAAACCUCCUUUAGCAGUUCUCUGUCCAGACUGAGAGAUGCAUGGGACUCUUUUCGGUCUUCAGGUUGUUGUUUUGUUGUUAUCAGAAAGUUGGCACGCUGUCUAUACCCAACUUAGCACGCAGGGAAACACCGCAAAAUGGCUACAGGAUAUACAGUUGCAAGGUCUUUUAAAGUUGUUUCAUCCAAUUAACUCUUAAAAGGUACUUUAUUUCUACCUUUCUACCUAUGACUCCCCUUGUCUGUCCAUGUAACUAACCUCUGCACUGUGGCUUUCCUCGUCCAAUCACUCUGUGCCACCAACACUGCAGAAAAUGGAGUAGAUGAAGAAGAAGAAGCAGUUUGGGACAACACCCAAAGACCUCCAUCUUGCCUUCAUACUAAAAAUUCCCAAAACCUAAAUGUUUCACCCUGUGACAAACUACAAUAUUAUCUAUUAUCUACUAUCUAUUAUCUCCAUUAUCUAUUAUCUAGUUCACAGUCUGGUAGACUCUAGUCUAUCUUGAAGUCUUGGGAGCUUUCUCCAUGGGUGUGGCCGGGUUCCGCGCGGCACGGCGCGGCACGGCGCGGCACGGCUUGUCACGCGUGUCAUUGCGGCCACCCGCCUGCAGGGGGUGACUGCCGGAGGGGACGCGUUGUCACGCCCCCUGCCCUCUCAGCCAAUAGCGGGGCCGGAGCCGGCGGCUGGCUCUCCCCAUUGGCCAUCUUGAAGAAGGCGGCGGCCAGUAGCGGCGGCGCGGCGGUCGUUGUGCCGCGGGCGCCGGGACGGAGCGCGCGGGAGCGCCCGUACAACAGAGGAGCCAGCUGCAGAAUUGCCAAGGAACCGAGGAAAGGCUGAAAUGCACAAGUGCAAUGUAAGUUAGGAGGAUGUUUGGCUUGGAUUAGAUGAUAUGUAAAGUUCUGAAGUAUAGCUGGCUUUCCCCCC
rnacentral:lncRNA from 1 species